rnacentral:pre_miRNA from 1 species
AGCGGUAUUGCUGGGUCAUAUGGUAGCUCUAGGUUUAACUUUUUGAGGAACUGCCAAACUAUUUUCCACAGCAGUUGUACCAUUUUGCAUUCCCACCAGCAGU